GCUGGAUCAGUGAGUCCGAGACAGCACAAGGGGUAGGAGCACAAGGCAAAAGGCCCAUCAAAAAUGGGGUCCAAAACUUCCAGAGGGUUUCAUCAUAAGGAGUUAUGUACAAGGGACCCAGGCUAGGGUCACAGCCUGUGAGGGAAGUGACCCACAGGCCACGGAGGCUGUCUGACCCUAACCAGCUGCUGCUGUGUCCUGCUCACUCUCAGUUCUCCUCAUCGCUGUCUUCUGGGCUGAUGGCUGGACUGGUGAGGCUGUAGGUGGGGCUGGUGGGGGAGUAGCCAGGAGAAGUGGGAGAGUAGGUGGAGCCCUUGGGAGAGGUGGGUGAGUAGGUGGGACUGGUGGGCGAGUACUUGGGAGAAGUUGGGGAGUAGGUAGGACUAGUAGGGGAGUACUUGGGAGAGGUCGGGGUGUAGACUGGAGAGGUUGGUGAAUAUGUAGGAGAGGUUGGCGAGUAUUUUGGGGUGGUGGGUGAGUAAGUGGGGCUGGUAGGAGAAUACUUGGGAGAAGUGGGUGAAUAUUUGGGGCUUGUAGGUGAGUAGCUGGGUGAGGUUGGGCUGUAGCUGGGUGAGGUUGGGGUAUAGUUGGGACUAGUUGGGGAAUAGUUAGGGCUAGUGGGUGAGUAACUUGGGGAAGUUGGUGAGUAACUUGGAGAAGUUGGUGAGUAGCUUGGAGAUGUCGGUGAGUAA
rnacentral:lncRNA from 1 species